rnacentral:rRNA from 1 species
GAUGAACGCUGGCGGCGUGCCUAAUACAUGCAAGUCGAGCGAAUGGAUUAAGAGCUUGCUCUUAUGAAGUUAGCGGCGGACGGGUGAGUAACACGUGGGUAACCUGCCCAUAAGACUGGGAUAACUCCGGGAAACCGGGGCUAAUACCGGAUAACAUUUUGAACCGCAUGGUUCGAAAUUGAAAGGCGGCUUCGGCUGUCACUUAUGGAUGGACCCGCGUCGCAUUAGCUAGUUGGUGAGGUAACGGCUCACCAAGGCAACGAUGCGUAGCCGACCUGAGAGGGUGAUCGGCCACACUGGGACUGAGACACGGCCCAGACUCCUACGGGAGGCAGCAGUAGGGAAUCUUCCGCAAUGGACGAAAGUCUGACGGAGCAACGCCGCGUGAGUGAUGAAGGCUUUCGGGUCGUAAAACUCUGUUGUUAGGGAAGAACAAGUGCCAGUUAAAUAAGCUGGCACCUUGACGGUACCUAACCAGAAAGCCACGGCUAACUACGUGCCAGCAGCCGCUGUAA